rnacentral:rRNA from 1 species
UGCGUAGGCGGACUAAUAAGUCAGUGGCGAAAUCUCUCGGCUCAACCGGGAAACUGCCAUUGAUACUGUCAGUCUUGAGUUCGGUUGAGGUAGGCGGAAUGUGUAAUGUAGCGGUGAAAUGCUUAGAUAUUACACAGAACACCAAUUGCGUAGGCAGCUUACUAGACCGACACUGACGCUGAGGCACGAAAGCGUGGGUAGCGAACAGGAUUAGAUACCCUGGUAGUCC